CAAUAGCGUAUAUAAACGUUGUUGCAGUUAAAACGCUCGUAGUUGGAUUUAGGGGUUUAACCUGUGAAAGGGUUACGGUCUGACAGGUUCUUCACUGAACCGAGUCGCUGAAACGUAGAUUGUCCGCCGAAAUGGUGAGUACACUACGUUUAACUCCUCUUACUGGAAUCUUGUCGUUGGCUAUUUGUUUAGUCAGCGGUCUGAACGACGAAAGUCGUUGGGCGUUCGUGUCGAAGAUUGUGUGACGCCUUCGCGGGGGUUACUGCUUUGUCUUGCGAAUGAAGAUGCAGUUCAUUUACUAUGAAUAAAAUAGAGUGUUCAAAGCAGGCAAUAUAUGAUCGCCACUGAAUAAGACAGCAUGGGAUAAUGGAAGAGGACUUGGGUUGAAAGAUUCGUAAUUGGUUGAUUCGACGACAAGUAAUGAAAAAAAGGAACGGACGGGGGUAUUCGUACUGAACGGUCAGAGGUGAAAUUCUUGGAUUCGUUCAAGACGAACAAAAGCGAAAGCAUUUACCAAGCACGUGUCCAUUAA
rnacentral:rRNA from 1 species